UGUUUUUAUGGCUUAUAGAAUGAUGCAUUCGGCAACUUGAGUUCAGUGUCACAGUGCUGUUUUUUUUUUCAGUCCAAAGAGCCCGAAGCUGAUAAGACUGGCGAUUGAUCCUGAAGCUGAUUUGACAGACGAUUGCAUCAUCACAAUAUUGAAGGUUCAAUAUACAGUCAGCCUCUCAUAAGAUAAAGAACAAAUCCCAAGAUCCAAGGCUUGCUUCAAAGUUAAGAGACCAUUCUGUGCCACAAAGAAAUUGUUCAGGAAGAGGAGAAGUGGUGGAUAUUCAUUUUUGGUACGGUACAGUUCAAAGAGAUUUUCAAAAUGGUCAUGGAAGAUCAAAGGGAGGACAACUGAAAAAAAUGAAAGAUACAGAAGGAAAAAGAACAAGGAAAUAUAUGGAAUAAUUAUGAAAUGGGGAGGAUGUACACAAUCUUGUCUGAAUUUGAGCUGUGAAAAUUUCCCAUAUUCUUAUUGUAUGCUGGAAUAAUCAAUAACUUGAUUUUUCAUAAAUUUACAAUAGAGAAUACAUGACAAAUGUUAUUGCUGAUAUUUCAAUUUUGCUUUGGACACUUUCAUGUCAUAUGGUAUUUUUAUACAUGAACUAAUUAUGUUAUUCAUUUGUACAUGUACAGUAUACAUGUUUAACUACUAAAUCAUUUUGCUGAAAUCUUAUAAUUUGUACUCAUGUUAGAAUAUGUUAAAUACAUGUAUCGACAAAUGCUACUGACUUGUUUGUAUAUUUUCUUGUUUAGAAUGUACACUGUGAAAAAUAAGUUAUUUCUCUUGAUGAAAAUAAUUUUAUCAAAAAAGUUGUGUAAGCAUUUUAAGAUAUUUUAAAAUAUUUAACCAAUGAAGAUAGAUCAUUGUAAUGUAAUGAAUUUUCAUCUAAAGCAGAAAUAUCUGAUUUUUAAAUGUGUACAAGAAUGUGAAAAAUAUUGAAAAAGAACACACAUGUGUUUCAUAUGAUUUACAUAUGAUGUCCUUUUCAUAUGAUUCUCAUAUGUAAAUGGCUUGAAACACACUUAAAUCAUUCAUAUGAAAAUCAUAUGUAGUUAUUUUCAUAUGAUUCACAUAUGUGGAUCAUAUGUAAAUCAUAUGAUUUGCUUCAUAUGAUUCACAUAUGAUGCCCUUUUUCUAUGAUUCUCA